rnacentral:lncRNA from 1 species
AUGCUCCCAGACACUGAAAUCCAGAGCAGAGCCUGUUGCUGUCUCUUUCCUCUGCUGCUCAGCACAGGGACAGGUUCAGCUGUGCUCUCACCUGCAAGGUCUAGAUUGAUCGAUUGGAGAACCCCGUUUCUUUCCUAGGAUUGAAGCACUCUGUCUUCAAGAGCGAGUGGGGAAUGCAGAGAUAUCCUAGCAGCAAGCCCCACUUUCCAGUAACUGAAGUCAUCUGCAGACACUGAGACCGUCCUUCGGAGGUGGGGCAGCUGAGAACCAUUGAAUACGGGAAGGCGUCUGAAGGCUCGUGGAAGCAGGGAUGCAGAAACACAUCCUCAUCACCUCCCGUCUCGCCUUCUCCCUCAGGAGAGCUAGAAGAGCAGUGGAAGCUGAAAGUGCCCUGGCCAGUGAGAUUCUUUAGCAGCUAAGCAACAGGCUGAAGUAGCUUCUGUGUUGGGCAAGGAGGCUUCUAACCAUCUGAGCCUACCAGUGGAAAAUCAAGCAGACCCGUAAAGCAAGACCUUACAUCCCACAGGCGUGGAGAAUUGGGUUAUGGCACUAAGCAAUGGAUUCCCAUCAGCCAAGGAAAAAAAAUGAUGCUGAUGAAUUUUAAAGUUCAUGUAGUCGGAGAUGUCCUGAUGCCUGCCACAAUGAACUUGACUGAUACAACCCAACAAGCAGAUGCUUGGUGUCUGGCCUGAAGCAUUGUUUAGCGGGAUGAGAGAUUAUAGGGCUCUUUACAAGUGAUCACCUACCAUGUAUGUGGGUAAAGGUUGACUACACAACCACCGUUCUGUAAAAAUGUGUUAAUCACAAGAAACAUACCACAAACCAUCAGAAAGAUUUGGCCUAGAUGUCCUGGAGAUAUUGGCACAACAAACAAGCAAACAAAACUCCAAAACAAAAGAAAUUCACAAACAAACAACAAGACCAAUGGCAUGUUUCAGUCCGUUGACUUUUUACCAGACAAGAAAUAAAAACUCUUCCUGGCUUGGGUUCUUCUUGCUUA